GAAUCUUCCGCAAUGGACGAAAGUCUGACGGAGCAACGCCGCGUGAGUGAUGAAGGUUUUCGGAUCGUAAAACUCUGUUGUUAGGGAAGAACAAGUACCGUUCGAAUAGGGCGGCACCUUGACGGUACCUAACCAGAAAGCCACGGCUAACUACGUG
rnacentral:rRNA from 1 species